GACGUAGGGUGCGAGCGUUGUCCGGAUUUAUUGGGCGUAAAGAGCUCGUAGGCGGUCUGUCGCGUCUGCUGUGAAAACUCGGGGCUUAACCCCGGGCCUGCAGUGGGUACGGGCAGACUAGAGGUAUGCAGGGGAGAACGGAAUUCCUGGUGUAGCGGUGAAAUGCGCAGAUAUCAGGAGGAACACCGGUGGCGAAGGCGGGUCUCUGGGCCGAUACUGACGCUGAGGAGCGAAAGCGUGGGGAGCGAACAGG
rnacentral:rRNA from 1 species